rnacentral:rRNA from 1 species
UACAGAGGGUGCGAGCGUUAAUCGGAGUUACUGGGCGUAAAGGGCGCGUAGGCGGCUUGUAUAGUCGGAUGUGAAAUUCCUGGGCUUAACCUGGGGGCUGCAUACGAGACGUAUGGGCUUGAGUGCGGAAGAGGGUCGUGGAAUUCCCAGUGUAGAGGUGAAAUUCGUAGAUAUUGGGAAGAACACCGGUGGCGAAGGCGGCUCUCUGGACCGACACUGACGCUGAGGAGCGAAAGCGUGGGUAGCGAACAGG